CCCUUCCUCCUAGGUCCUUCCACACUCAUAAUUAAAUACACCAGAACUACGGCACAUGUGUGAAUAGAUACAAGGGCGCCUGACAUCAGAGUUGGGGGUCAACCUAAGAGAAUAAACAACAAUCUAAACCUUAGAAGAGUUCCACCUGCGAGAACAAGAUGGAGAAACAGAUCAAAUAAUCCCCCUGGGUGCUGAAGACUAUGGGGAAAUUAACUCCACUCACUCAAGACGGAGGAUCACUGACUUCAAUCAAGCAACCAGGGUUUCAAACAAGUCCUCAAACACCACCACUGCAUGGCGAGUACAGAGGCUGUAGACGUCUGGUGUUGGGAUCAUCUGGGCAUCUCUCCACCCAACACCUUGUCAAGACUGCUGUCAACACUCCACCUGGACCCUACACACUCUUUCCACGCCCCCACCGCAUGUCCACCUCCAGGGUGGUGGCUCCUUCUGCUACUCUGUGCACACACAGAUCAUCUUUUCAUGCACACACAGAUCAUCUGGCUUCUUCUGGGCCCUUGAGGUAGAGGAAAUUCAGUGUAACUGUAGAAGGUCCUGCCUACCAGCAUACAGUACGAAGUAGUUUUUUUCUCUGAAAUCGUUCCACCUUUGCUGGACAGAAGUCCCUUUCUGCUUUUUCUAUCCUGCACAAGCAUGCAUUUUGUCUGAAACUACUUCUUGUCUUGCUCUGUGAUGGCUGUAGUAUGUUUGCAUAUUUAGUUUCCUGUUUAUUUAUUGCGAGUUCAGCAUCAAAUUUAAUUUCACUUGUGAAAAUCUUUUAAUUUCUUCACAUGAAUUAAAUAUUCUAUUUCCUUUUUUAUAAAAAAAGUUUCCCAGAUCUUCCAGCUCUGCUUAUUGGCUUGUUGGACAACUUUGGUUAGAAAUAAUUUGUCAUUAGAUCUCUUUCUUAGAAGAAAGAAAUACAGAAAUUUCUGUACUUGGAAUAUUGAAUCCAUUCUGAUUCUUUAAAAUUUUCAUUAACCCUUUUUCUUUCCUUGUCUGGGGGAAGCUUGCAUAUCCUUUCCAUUGCUUACAGUAUUAUGAAAUAGUAUAAAUGAUAUGGUUCUAUUUUCGUCCAUUUUGCUGAAUGCUUAGAAGGUCUUUUUAGAGGAGACACUUAGGACACCAGGCCCUGCUCUCAGCAGAGAAGGCUUCAGCUGUGGGCUUGGUAUUUUCUGAGAGGAAAUACUCCAUCACUUCUCAUCAGGGAAUCAUAUCCAUCAAAGCCACCCAGCCAUCUGAUAAAUGGAAAGUCAUGAUAUCAUAGUGACUAUUAGCUAUAGCAACACAGUCAUAAAUCUCAAUAUUUGUGUAGAACAGACCAGAAUGAUAAGGCAAAUCAGAGGCAGGAAAUAGUUCUGGUGAGGUUUGCAAGGAGCCAUCAAUAGGCAAUCCGACCCCAGAAGAAUUACUUCCUGGACAAGCAGGGAUGUCCUAGGGCCCUUUAGUCUUUUAAGUACCUUGGACUUGAUUUAUUCUGGGGAGAUUGUUUUACACAAUUCUCUAUAGGCAGUUGGAGAAUAUGAAAGAGAAUAACCUGAGUGCAUGCAUCUAGAGGAUUCCUUUCUUGUAUGAGAAUAACCAGAAAGCUUAAUUAAUAAUAAGGCUCCUAGCAGAACGAAGUCUGAGACAAGAAUGUGUAACUUUGAUAAAUACCAAAAUGUGGAGAAGUAUACAUUCCCCAUACCAUUGAGAUGAGUCAUGAUGAAGAGAGUGCGAUGAAUCACCUGCCCAGGUGAGAAGAGAUUGCACUCAGGAGGCUUUCCGUAAGGCACAUUCUGCAGCUCAUGUAUUAGUGAGGGUUCUUGACUGGCAGCAAUGCAAGCAGAGCCUCACUAUUUUAAGGAAGACAUGAGAUUUGUUACCAGAAUUUUGCAUAGUUCACAGAAUCUAGGAGGGCAGGAGAUCUAAGCCUCGAGGGAGAGUGAGGAACCAUGUCCAAUGUCACAGCACAGAGCGGGUGUCUUCAUGCUGCUGUGACCAAAUGGCACAGUCCCAGGGGCUGGCCCCAUGCACUCUGGCAGCUCUGGGAGCUCGGUGCCCCUGUGGGAAUUGCAGUCUUUGUCGCCCCUGGAAGGAGCCACCACUGUUGUACCUGCGCCCCUCCCCGUGGCCAGAGUGGGUACUGCAUCAUUCCUUCUCCCCAGCCGGACCCGGUUUUGCCCCAUCAGGGAGUGGUUUCUGAGCUACAGAACCCGUGUCUCAGGCUGGCAGCGUCUUAUAAGGAAGGCUGGGGAAGCCAGACUUUGACAUGUUCAGGUUCUCUUCAUACUCCACAAAGCAGGAGUGCCUUGAAGGUUGGGGUCUCCAACAUAGGAGGGGUGCACAGAACCCGGGUGCCCAAAAAGAAAAUUUUUGAUUACCCAGGUGCAAGAAUUUUGAAUGGGAUCAUUAAUUGAUGCCUCAUCAAUUCAAAUAUCUACAUUUAGCAAUGCGUGAAGGGUUCAUUAACAAGGGAAUCUUUAAAAGCUAUAAAGGAUUUGUUGGAAUGACUAAGCCUGCACUGUGCAUUAAGCCAUUUAUAUUUUUGGUAAGUACUUUAUGGUAAACACGAUUAUAAAGCAAAUAGUGUGCAAUGUAUGGAGUAGAUUGAAUAGUAAUAUCCAAUUCAUCCUCACAGAAGUCAUUCUAUAAUAUGACCCAAUAUCACAAAGCCUGCCAGUCUAUAGAAAUCCCAGGCUUGGAAGUUUUAAACAUGUAACAAUAUGUAAAUAGAAGAGGGUUUCUUAAUCCUAAAAUUUGUAUGGAACCAGAAAAGACACCGAAUAGCCAGAGGAAUGUUGAAAAAGAAAAGCAAAGCUGGCGGCAUCACAAUUCCGGACUUCCAGCUCUAUUACAAAGCUGCCAUCAUCAAGACAGUAUGGUACUGGCACAAAAACAGACACAUAGAUCAAUGGAACAGAAUAGAGAGCCCAGAAAUGGACCCUCAACUCUAUGGUCAACUCAUCUUUGACAAAGCAGGAAAGAAUGUCCAAUGGAACAAAGACAGUCUCUUCAACAAAUGGUGUUGGGAAAAUUGGACAGCCACGUGCAGAAGAAUGAAACUGGACCA